rnacentral:lncRNA from 1 species
CAGGGAAGGGGACCCCGGAAGACGAGCCAGAAAUUGCCCUGGAGGAAGAAGCGCGGAGCUCCCGCUAACCCGCCCCUCCCUCGUCACGUGACCGCGCGGGGCGAAAAGAGGGAACCCAGGGCCGCUGCGACGCCCGGACAGGUUGGCGACGGGGCUGGCAAGGGGCGGGACGACGCGACUGAGGAGGAGUGCGCCUGCGCCUUAGCAGUUGCCGGUCCCGCCGCUUCCGGGUCCGCGUGCAAAGGCCUCCCCGGAAAUGAGGUGGGAAGGUGGACCCAAGGUUCUGGGCGGGGUUGAGUCUGUCGGCCGUGCGACGUUGUUGGGGUGGGUUGUCGUAGGAUUUCCCCGAGCCCUUCCAGGUUGGAGGAAGAAAAAGGGACUAGAACAAAAGUCGCACUGGGAAGAGACUCCAGUUAUCUUGUGUUAAGAUAAUGGCAUCCUUGCUGCCUGAAGCUUCGGGGAGCUGAGUAUGGGAUUGCCGGCGCUGCUCCCUGUCUGUGGGGUGGGUGUGGACCAGAUUGUGACCGAGCUGGCAGUUUAGAGGUCUUGGAAUCCGGACUUUUUUGUUUUCCCAGUUAUCAUCGUCGUCAUCAAAGUAACAGUUGCCCACGUUUAGGGUACCUAGUAUCCGAGAAUUUGUAAUGAGAAAGCUCCCCAUCCUCAGAGGCAGCCCCCUUAAACCAGUUGUGUUUUUAAUUCUGAUUGCUAAAAAAUUGCUAAAAAUACUUACAUGCUAGUUCCUGAUUUCUUCUAGUUAACGUUUGACUUCAUACCACGAUAAAUGAGGAUCCAGCAUAGUACACCAUCCCCUUCUUUAUCUCUCCCUAAUUUACCCUUGUAACUUAAAGCAACCUACUCAUCCAUUGGGUUUUAAAACUGUGCACUCCGUUCUCUGUUACUUAUUACAUCAGUUUUUAGUAGUAAUCCUGGGAAUAGGUUAAGGUAAGUGAAGCAUCCCCUUGGGACACAAUUUAAGGGAGCACUAAUCAAGAUUGAUAAAGGCAAGAUAGUUAUUACUGAUCUUUCCUUUUGUCUCAGUUCCCCAUAUACCACGACUAGCCACUGUUGCUACGUUUUUAAUGCCCCCAGACAUUAAACUAUUAUUUAGUUUGGCUACUGUGUUUGGAUUUUACUCCUCUUGUCAGAAGCUGGCUUUCCAAAUACCACCAAGGUAACAAUAUAAGACAAAAGUGAGGUGAUGGCUUACUCAGGUAAGGGAGAGCACUACUUGGCAGAGCUUUGGCAGGGCCUCAGGAGAAGGUAAGGCCAGAAUUUAUGGUGAGUGGGAAGUUUGGUUUAAGGCAUGUCGUUCACUUCAGGGUUGGGUAAGAACUGAUGCGCGACAGUAGAAAAAUGGUGGAAACGGCAAGGCAAGAGAAUUCAGAUCAUCUCAGCGGGCAAACUGGCUAUUGAUGGUCAAACCAUUCGCAUAGGCUGGACAUUCAGGAAAAGUAUUUAAAGGAAAAAAAAUGCUAAUGGAAGCGUAGGACCACAAAGUCCCGUUAAUGUAGGCAGUAAGAUGUGGUUUGGGUUCUCUGUGUCCAGGCCGAUUGUGGAGGUAGAUGGUCUUUUCUUCAUGAAUACAUUCACCUGUUCAGUAAAUAUUUAAUACUGUACCAGAUGCUGUGUUAGGCACAGGAGAGACUCUGAGGAAUAGAGGAAACCCUGCCCUCCUGGAACUGGUAAUCUAGUGGGAGACAGAGGCAUUAAACAAGUAAACAAAUCCCACUGUUUGAAAUUGUAUUAUUCAGUAAACUGGAAUGAAAGAAAAUAAAUGAAGCUAAGGGGAUAGAGUGACUGGGGGUGGUGGAGAAUGAGAAUUUGGAGAGGGUCGACAGGGAAGGCCUCGCCGAGGAAGAGGAGGAUGAGGUGGGGCCAAAGUAAGGAAAGAAAACCAGUUACGUGAAGGUCUGGGGAAGACUGCUCAAGUCUGAGGAAAAGCAAGUGUGCAGGUCCUGAGGGCGAGCUAGAGGAGGUGUGGUGGUAAACAAGGGCAGAAAGGUAGGCCAGGUGCCAACGCCAUGUGGCAUUGUGGGCCAACAAAAAGACUUUCAAUUUUUUACUUUAUUGAUUUUUUGGAGACAGAGUGGGAGUGGGGGCGAAGGGCAGCGGGGGAGAGAGAGAGAGAGAGAGAGAGAGAGAGAGAGAGAGAGAGAGACAGAGAUUGAGAAUCUUAAGCAGGCUCACUGCUCAGCAAGGAUCCUGGUGAAAGACUCGAUCCCACGAUCCUGGGGUCAUGACAGCCAAAAUCAAGAGUCUGACAACUGACUCUUAGCCACCUAGAUGCCCCAAGAUCUUCAAUUUUAACAGGAGUUUAUAAUAGGAAGCUUUUAGAUUUUCAUUGGGGUUAGUGAUCUGAUUUACAUUUUUAAACAUUUUGUUGUGGAAAUGUUCAAACGUACAAAGGUAGAAGGAAUAAUACAACAAACCCCAUAUACUUUUCCCCCAGGUCCAGUAAUUUUCCACUAUAAUUCCAUCCACUUCCCUACCACAUUAAUUUUAAGUAAAUCCAAUAUCCUAUCACCUAUAAAUACUUUUAGGAUGUAUCUUUAAACUAUUUUUAACAUGAUCCUAAUAUCAUUAUCACACUUGGAAAUAUUAGCACAAAUUUCUUGUCAUCAUUGCAAUCAAUUCAAAUGUUUCUUAAAAAACUAUCUACAGUAGGGGCACCUGGGUGGUUCAGUCAGUUAAGCAUCUGACUUCAACUCAGGUCAUGAUCUCGUGGUUGAUGAGUUUGGGCACCACGUCGGGCUCUGUGGUUCCUCAUCGGACUCCUACCCAGUACAUGUAACAUUCAUUGAUAAUUCUUCUCUGGAUACAUUUUUACUCUGGUGAUUGCAAAACUUUUAAAGACACGGUACACAAUCCUUUUGUUUUUGUAAAAUUCACUUCGUUGAGGUUACAUUUAAAAUUUGUAGCAAUCCCCAUGUGAUAGAAUCUUCUGAGGCCAAAGUUCAAACAACCUGAUGCAAUUUGAACUUUAAAGUUGAAGGUUCGUUGUGCAAUAUAAGCUAACAAAGAAUUGUAACUUUACAAACAUUUAUGAGUCAGGGUUGGUGAUCAAGCCCAGGUCGGGGACAGUGUGGUGCUCUGAGACAACAUGGGAGCAUCACGCCCCUUCCCACAUACCUUGCUCCACACGUCUCUUCCAUCUGGCUGUUCCUGACUCUUAUCUUUUUAUAAUAAACCGGGGAUCUCUUCCAAUUGUGGAGUAGUAAACAUAUACGAUCAAGAUUCUUAUCCCCUAGAAGGAAACCCAAAGCUGAUAAAAGCUGUAAUGAUCUUGGUUUUGGGUGUUACUUCUCUGUCCUUCAGUCCUACUGCAGAAAUCUUAGCAAUUGCUUCAGAAAAAAAAGGAAGAAGCAGUCACACUGGGUCACUAUCCUUCCCAUCCUUCCCGUAUGGUAUUUUCUAAUUUCCCAGUUGUUUUUUAAAAAAUAAGAAGAAUGGGCGCCUGGGUGGCGCAGUCGGUUAGGCGUCCGACUUCAACCAGGUCACGAUCUCGCCGCCCGUGAGUUCGAGCCCCGCGUCAGGCUCUGGGCUGAUGGCUCAGAGCCUGGAGCCUGUUUCUGAUUCUGUGUCUCCCUCUCUCUCUGCCCCUCCCCCGUUCAUGCUCUGUCUCUCUCUGUCCCAAAAAUAAAUAAAACGUUGAAAAAAAAUUAAAAAAAAAAAAAAGAAGAAGAAGAAGAAGAUUUCUCUUGUUCAUACCAUGGAUUUUUCUCCCAGAAGUGGGUAUUUUGCCUUGGGCAAUGAAAAGGGAAGGCUCCCAAGUACAGAUUAUACCAGUAUUCAGACUUCUAAAGAUGUUAUUUGAAAUCCUGCUGAGCCACAAGAAAAGCCAGUCCUGACAUACCUACUCAGAAACUCUCUUGAAUGUCUGAUGAUAACGUAGAUAAUGAUUUGGUGAGCCCGCUGUGCUUUGUAAAUUAACAGACAUGUCUUAAUAAACACAUAGCAACUUUUGUUGGAAAAAAAAUCAAUGAGGUUAAAAUUUACAUCUCUGUCCCAAAAAUAAAUAAACGUUGAAAAAAAAAAUUAAAAAAAAAAAAAGGGGCGCCUGGGUGGCGCAGUCGGUUAAGCGUCCGACUUCAGCCAGGUCACGAUCUCGCGCUCCGUGAGUUCGAGCCCCGCGUCGGGCUCUGGGCUGAUGGCUCAGAGCCUGGAGCCUGUUUCCGAUUCUGUGUCUCCCUCUCUCUCUGUCCCUCCCCCGUUCAUGCUCUGUCUCUCUCUGUCCCAAAAAUAAAUAAACGUUGAAAAAAAAAAAAUUUAAAAUUUACAAAAGCGCAUCCCCCCUCCCCAGAGUCAAUUCCACUGUAUGACAAUUCAAAAAAUAAUAAUAAAUUUAGUGAUGUGGUUACUUACAGCGUAUAGUAUAUGUGGUGUCUGAGAGCAGAAAAACUACUUUUUACAAAAGAUUCUAAGUUUUCACCUUUUUGCUAGAUUGGACAGAAUUGUCCCCAUUAUUCCAAAACAGAAACCACAACAUUUUCCCCUUACGGCUGACUUUUGGUUUUUUUUGGUUUGUUUUUUUGCUUCUCUCUCAUGCCAGAGAUGAUUAGGGGGCUCUCUCAUUUCUGGGGACAGGAACGGCUCUGCUCCCUGGUCACAGUGAUUAGAACAUCGGCACUUAGGGCAAAAUACGAUGGGGCCUUGGCCAGUUGCCCCUGUGCUGCUGUUCUACACGCUAUCUUGAAAUGACCUUAGAACAUUGACCAACAACACUCCUGAUGAACCCCACGUUAGAGGUCCUGAAACCAAUUGUGCAAGUUUCUAGGUAACAUACACUUCUGCACUAAAGCUGUGUCCUCUGGUUUUUCCAAGAAUCUUACUGGGGAAGAUAUAAUUACAAAUUUCUUUGUAUGUCCAUUGGUGCAUCCUGUCAAAUAGCUGAAGCUGUCACCUUCAGGAUUCCUUUGUCAUUAAUCCUCACGGUCCUCGUGUCAUUGAACUCUGGAGUGUUCUUUUGCUCUCACAUAUGCAAAUGUACAUAUUAGAUGUAAACGCCUGCUCCUUACUUUUUUUUCCUAAUGAUAGAUCUUGGAGAUCUUGCCAUGCAAACGCGUAUAAUGUGUCCUCCUAAGAAGCCUGCUGAAUGUCCAUAGUAUCAUUAUUACAUCACUUAUAUAACUUGUCUUUUCUUUCUCUUUUUAAAUUUUUUUUUAUGUUUUUAUUUAUUUUUGAGUGACAGAGACAGAGCAUGUAUGGGGGAGGGGCAGAGAGAAAGGGAGUAGGCUCCAGGCUCUGAGCUGUCAGCACAGAGCCCCAUGAAGGGCUCAAACUCGUGAACUGUGAGAUCAUGACCUGAGCCGAAGUCGGACGCUUAACCGACUGAGCCACCCCGGUGCCCCUUCUCUUUCUCUUUUUAUUUUUUUUUUUUAUUUUUUUAUUUUUUUAUUUUUUUAAAUUUUUUUUUUUUCAACGUUUAUUUAUUUUUUUUGGAACAGAGAGAGACAGAGCAUGAACGGGGGAGGGGCAGAGAGAGAGGGAGACACAGAAUCGGAAACAGGCUCCAGGCUCUGAGCCAUCAGCCCAGAGCCCGACGUGGGGCUCGAACUCACGGACCGCGAGAUCGUGACCUGGCUGAAGUCGGACGCUUAACCGACUGCGCCACCCAGGCGCCCCUUCUCUUUCUCUUUUUAAAAUUACUAACAAAAACUCGUAACCCUAGUGUAACCAUGAGAAAGACAUUAGACAAAACCCAAACUGAAGGUCAUAGUACAAAAUACCUCAAAAUUCUCAAGAUCAAAAGGCAAGGAGAGUCUGAGAAAUUAUCACAGCCUAGAAGAGUCUAAAGAGACAUAACAACUGAAUGUAAUGCGGCAUUCCGGAAGGGACUGUGGAACAGAAAAGGGACAUUAGGGAAAAAACUAAGGAAAUCCAAAUAAAGUAUGUUGUUGAGUUGUUAAUAACAUAUUGAUAUAGGUUCAUUAAUAGUGGCAAAUGUGUCAGUACUAAUGUAAGAUGUUAAUUAGAGGGAAAACUGGGUAUGAUGUACUAUCUUUACAGGGUUGCUGGUUUUUUUUUUUUUCUUUCAGUAGGCUCCACUCCCAGCACUGAGCCCAACGUGGAGCUCGAACUCGAGACCCUGAGAUCCAGAAGUGAGCUGAUAACAAGAGUUGGACGCUUAACCAACUGAGCCACCCAGCUGCCCCUACAGGU